AGAGUUUGAUCAUGGCUCAGAACGAACGCUGGCGGCGUGCUUAACACAUGCAAGUCGAGUGCGCGUGCCGUAGCAAUACGGUAUGGCGCACGGCGCACGGGUGCGUAACACGUGGGCAAUCUGCCCUCCGAUGGGGAAUAACUCCGGGAAACCGAAGCUAAUUCCGCAUAACAUUCCCUGGACUCCGGUUCGGGGAUUCAAAGCAGCAAUGCGUCGGAGGAGGAGCCCGCGCCCGAUUAGCUAGUUGGUGAGGUAACGGCUCACCAAGGCUAUGAUCGGUAGCUGGUCUGAGAGGAUGGCCAGCCGCACUGGAACUGAGACACGGUCCAGACUCCUACGGGAGGCAGCAGUGGGGAAUCUUGCGCAAUGGGCGAAAGCCUGACGCAGCGACGCCGCGUGGGGGAUGAAGCUUCUCGGAGUGUAAACCCCUUUCGACCGGGACGAAUGCCCGCAAGGGAGUGACGGUACCGGUAGAAGAAGCCCCGGCUAACUACGUGCCAGCAGCCGCGGUAAGACGUAGGGGGCCAGCGUUGUUCGGAAUUACUGGGUGUAAAGGGUUCGUAGGCGGUGUGGCAAGUCGGGAGUGAAAUUUCUGGGCUUAACUCAGAACCUGCUUCCGAAACUGCUGUGCUCGAGUGUGGGAGAGGCGCGUGGAAUUGCAGGUGUAGCGGUGAAAUGCGUAGAUAUCUGCAGGAACACCCGUGGCGAAAGCGGCGCGCUGGACCACUACUGACGCUGAGGAACGAAAGCUAGGGGAGCAAACAGGAUUAGAUACCCUAGUAGUCC
rnacentral:rRNA from 1 species